rnacentral:rRNA from 1 species
AGCAGCCGCGGUAAUUCCAGCUCCAAUAGCGUAUAUUAAAGUUGUUGCAGUUAAAAAGCUCGUAGUUGAAUUUCGGGGUCAGCAGGUUGGUCGUGCCACUGGUAUGCACUGGCUUCGCUGAUUCCUCCUUUCUGAAGAACUGUAAUGCCAUUAAUUUGGUGUUGCAGGGAAACAGGACUGUUACUUUGAAAAAAUUAGAGUGUUUAAAGCAGGCUAACGCUUGAAUACAUUAGCAUGGAAUAAUGAAAUAGGACGUUUGAUCCUAUUUUGUUGGUUUCUAGGAUUGACGUAAUGAUUAAUAGGGAUAGUUGGGGGCAUUAGUAUUCAAUUGUCAGAGGUGAAAUUCUUGGAUUUAUUGAAGACUAACUACUGCGAAAGCAUUUGCCAAGGAUGUUUUCAUUAAUCAAGAACGAAAGUUAGGGGAUCGAAGACGAUCAGAUACCGUCGUAGUCUUAACCAUAAACUAUGCCGACUAGGGAUCGGAUGAUGUUAAUUUUUUAAUGACUCAUUCGGCGCCUUACG